GAUCUCCUUGCAGUCCAAGGGACUCUCAAGCGUCUUGUCUAGCCCCACGGUUCAAAAGCAUCAAUUCUUCAGCACUCAGCCUUCUUUAUGGUCCACCUCUCACAUCCGUAUGUGACUAAUAGAAAAAAUAUCAGAAGAAUUCCCCCAAAGCAGCCCAGUAUGUGCACACAUAUACCACGAAGCAUUGUAACCAAGCAGUCACUUCCUUGGCCCUGACAUAGAAUCAGAUGCACUGGAUUUGCUGUGGGGGAAGGUCUGGUUGAAAAAAAACAUUGCAGGACUUGUCUUUUAUUGCGUUUUGUGCUCAAGGGGGCUUCCCUGGUGGCUCAGAGGAUAAAGCUUCUGCCUGCAAUGGGGGAGACCGGGGUUUGAUCCCUGGUUUGGGAAGAUCCCCCGGACAAGGGCAUGGCAACCCACUCCAGUAUUCUUGCCUGGAGAAUCCCAUGGACGGAGGAGCCUGGCGGGCUACAGUCCACGGGGUCGCAAAGAAUCAGACGCAACUGAGCGACUUCCCUCUCACUCUCUUUAUGCUCAAGGGACUUUGAGGACUAGGCUGCCUUCGGCAUCCUUGUCAGCUGUCCCCUGGACCUGGCGACACACCCGCUGUGUGUUGCCUGGAAUGGCUCUCGUGGGUGGAGAGUCCGCACCCUCCGUGAGGACUCCCUCAGUAGCAGCUGUGAGAAGAACUGAGGAGCGAGAGCGUCUGCCCGGACGUUCGCAGAGCGGUCGUCGCCGCCGGCGUUGGUCCCCAGGUGUGGGGCCCGCCGACGGAGGAAGACCGCAUUUUCCUUCCGAGAACAUCGAUCGCCAUAAACGCGCCCUACUUUACGGGGCGCUCAGACCCGAACGCCACGUCCACCGGAGAUUCAGACGGUCCGAUGGAAAUUGCACUGGUGAUUUAAACGCAGGCGAAUGAAAGCUUUAAGGGCGUCAGUGGGAGAUGGUACAAGCCUGUCCCAGGAUGUAGGUGACUUUACGGCUUACCCAGUCUCCUAAGAGAGCACCCAGGCUCUGUUGCUCCACAGCAUGUGGGGUCUUCCCGGACCAGGAAUCGGACCUGCGUCCAUUGCGCUGGCAGGCGGAUUCUUCACCACUGGGCCCCCACCGGGGGCCGGCCCACGAGCACACUCUUCAGGACCCGACUUGGAAUUCUUGACUGUGACGGCCACUCUUCACACGAGGUGCUCCGGGCUCCGAACACCCCAUGUCUGCUCCGUACCUCGGAACAGAGUACUCCCCUGGGUUCUGAGCAUCUCGAGACCGUAAUGUGAGAAAGAUGCCUUCCUUUCGUGACGCUGUCUUUCUACCAGCAUUAUAUUCGCUCGAUAACCUCCAGCUAGGCUUUGAUUAGAUGCACCACUGAGUCUGUUGGACGUGAGUUUGAGCAAACUCUGGGAGGUAGUGAAGGACAGGGGAGGAAGCCUCGUGUGCUGCAGGCCACGGGGUCACAAAGAGACGGACACGACUGAGCAACAGAUCAGAUUUAAGGAUGGUUAGACCUGCUUGGGUUGGUCUGAUUUAGCCUUUAAUAUAGUUCUUCAAUUUGGGGGGAAUUUUCAGCUGUUAACGGGUGCAGAUAGUCUCUCUUUCCUCCUCUUCCAUUCUAUUUCUUCUGUCUGGGGCGUUCGUUGGAUUCUUGCUACAGUUUUACAACAUAACCUUCUGGGUAUCUUUCAAAAGGCUCUUUGGAGGAGCACCAUUUUCCAUUGUAUUUCUGGUUUGCCAGUUCUCUAAGUAAUGAGCACUCUAUAAUUAAUCUCACAUGUUGAAUUAUUUAUCACAAUUUUUAUUAAAAAAAUUUUUUUUUGCCUACCCCAAGGCUUGCAGAAUCUUAGUUCCCCAACCAGGUAUUGAACCCAAGCCAUAACAGUGAAGGGUCAGAGUCCUAACCACUGGGUUGCCACAGAACUCCCCUAACAAGUGCUUUUAAAAAGAAUGAGAAGUAGAGAAGAAGGCUCACCUGUCCUGUUUUUCUGGAUUCCACAAAUGCAUGUUGAUCCAUGACUGUCUUUCCGUUUGUGACUUACUUCACUCUGUAUGACAGACUUUAGGUCCGUCCACAUCGCUACACAUUACUCAGUUGCAUCCCUUUUCAGGGCCGAGUAAUAUUCCAUCGUAUAAACCCACCACAUCUUUUUCACCUCUUCCUCUGUCGAUGGACGCUUGGGUUGCGUCCAUGUCUUGACUGUCAUAAAUUGUGAACCUUGGGGUAAAUGUGUUUUGGUGAGGUGUGGUUUUCUCAGGGUUAUAUGCCCUGGAGUGGGAUGGCUGGCUCAUAUGGUAGAUCUCCUCCCAUUAAGGGCUUCCCUGGUGGCUUAGUUGGUAAAGAAUGCGGCUGCAAUGCAGGAGACCCCUGGUUUGAUUCCUGGGUUGGGAAGAUCCCCUGGAGA